AUUGAACGCUGGCGGCAGGCUUAACACAUGCAAGUCGAGCGGUAACAGAGAGAAGCUUGCUUCUCUGCUGACGAGCGGCGGACGGGUGAGUAAUGCCUAGGAAUCUGCCUAGUAGUGGGGGAUAACUUGCCGAAAGGUAAGCUAAUACCGCAUACGUCCUACGGGAGAAAGGAGGGGACCUUCGGGCCUUUCGCUAUUAGAUGAGCCUAGGUCGGAUUAGUUAGUUGGUGAGGUAAUGGCUCACCAAGACCGCGAUCCGUAACUGGUCUGAGAGGAUUGUCAGUCACACUAGAACUGCGACACGGUCCAGACUCCUACGGGAGGCAGCAGUGGGGAAUAUCGGACAAUGGGGGGAACCCUGAUCCAGCCAUGCCGCGUGUGUGAAGAAGGUCUUAGGAUUGUAAAGCACUUUAAGUUGGGAGGAAGAGCAGUUAACUAAUAUUUGACUGUUUUGACGUUACCGACAGAAUAAGCACCGGCUAACUUCGUGCCAGCCGCCGCAGUAA
rnacentral:rRNA from 1 species